GGCUCGGUGGCAUAGCGGUAACGCACUCCGAAUUCCUAUAUAGGGAAUUUUGUCCACGGAGGGUACAGAGUUCGAUUCUCCAAUGAGCCA